rnacentral:tRNA from 1 species
AAAAAACCAUAUGGACUCCCCAAUGAUUUAUCCUUUUCUUAUUAUUAGCGGAGUUAUCUUUCU